GGUGUUGUAAGGCGUAGCCUCGCUGUCUUGAAAGCAGAAUAUGCGGGUUCGAUUCCCGCCUGCCGCA
rnacentral:tRNA from 1 species